UUAAGCUACUAAGAGCACACGGAGGAUGCCUAGGCGCUAGGAGCCGAAGAAGGACGUGGCGAACAACGAUAAGGCCUCGGGGAGCUGUAAGCAAGCUUUGAUCCGGGGAUGUCCGAAUGGGGAAACCCGGCUGGUGUAAUAGCCAGUCACUCGUAACUGAAUACAUAGGUUGCGAAGAGGCAGACCAGGGGAACUGAAACAUCUAAGUACCUUGAGGAAGAGAAAACAAGUAGUGAUUCCGUCAGUAGCGGCGAGCGAACGCGGAAGAGCCUAAACCAAGAGGCUUGCCUCUUGGGGUUGUGGGACGUCUCACAUGGAGUUACAAAGGAAUAGGGUAGGCGAAGAGGUCUGGAAAGGCCCGCUAGAAGAGGUAAAAGCCCUGUAACCGAAAGUCUAUUCCCUCCGAGACGGAUCCCGAGUAGUGCGGGGCACGUGAAACCCCGUAUGAAUCUGCCAGGACCAUCUGGUAAGGCUAAAUACUCCCUAGUGACCGAUAGUGAAGCAGUACCGUGAGGGAAAGGUGAAAAGCACCCCGGAAGGGGAGUGAAAGAGAUCCUGAAACCGUGUGCUUACAAGAAGUCAGAGCCCUAUGAUGAAACUUCGUUUCAUCACGGGUGAUGGCGUGCCUUUUGUAGAAUGAACCGGCGAGUUACGUUCCCGUGCAAGGUUAAGGUGAGAAGCCGUAGCCGCAGCGAAAGCGAGUCUGAAUAGGGCGAAUAAGUACGUGGGCGUAGACCCGAAACCGUGUGAUCUACCCCUGUCCAGGGUGAAGGUGCGGUAACACGCACUGGAGGCCCGAACCCACGAACGUUGAAAAGUUCGGGGAUGAGGUGGGGGUAGCGGAGAAAUUCCAAUCGAACUCGGAGAUAGCUGGUUCUCCCCGAAAUAGCUUUAGGGCUAGCCUCGGUGGUACAGUCGUGGAGGUAGAGCACUGAUUGGGUGCGGGGCCCGCAAGGGUUACCAAGCUCAGUCAAACUCCGAAUGCCAUAGACUGAUUAACCGGGAGUCAGACAGUGAGUGCUAAGAUCCAUUGUCAAAAGGGAAACAGCCCAGACCAUCAGCUAAGGUCCCCAAGUGUGUGUUAAGUGGGAAAGGAUGUGGAGUUGCACAGACAACCAGGAUGUUGGCUUAGAAGCAGCCACCAUUUAAAGAGUGCGUAAUAGCUCACUGGUCGAGUGACUCUGCGCCGAAAAUGUAACGGGGCUAAACACACCACCGAAGCUAUGGCUUGAUGCAAUGCAUCAGGGGUAGGGGAGCGUUGUAUGUGGGUAGAAGGUGUACCGUAAGGAGCGCUGGACAGCAUACAAGUGAGAAUGCCGGUAUGAGUAACGAAAAGAUCAGUGAGAAUCUGAUCCGCCGAAAGCCUAAGGGUUCCUGAGGAAGGUUCGUCCGCUCAGGGUAAGUCGGGACCUAAGGCGAGGCCGACAGGCGUAGUCGAAGGACAACAGGUGGAAAUUCCUGUACCACCGUAAACCGCUAUGAGCGAUGGGGUGACGCAGCAGGGUAGUGACGCGGACUGAUGGAUGUCCGUCCAAGCAGUGAGAGGGUAGCAUAGGCAAAUCCGUGCUACAUAACCUUGGGCUGUGAUGGGGAGCGAAAAUUGCAGUAGCGAAGGUCAUGAUCUCACACUGCCAAGAAAAGCCUCUAGCCAGGUGAAGGUGCCCGUACCGUAAACCGACACAGGUAGGCGAGAAGAGAAUUCUAAGGCGCGCGGAAGAACUCUCGUUAAGGAACUCGGCAAAAUGACCCCGUAACUUCGGGAGAAGGGGUGCCUCGGUAGGGUGAAUAGCCCGAGGGGGCCGCAGUGAAAAGGCCCAAGCGACUGUUUAGCAAAAACACAGGUCUGUGCGAAGCCGUAAGGCGAAGUAUACGGGCUGACGCCUGCCCGGUGCUGGAAGGUUAAGGGGAGUGGUUAGGGGUAACCCGAAGCUAUGAACUGAAGCCCCAGUAAACGGCGGCCGUAACUAUAACGGUCCUAAGGUAGCGAAAUUCCUUGUCAGGUAAAUUCUGACCCGCACGAAUGGCGUAACGACUUGGGCGCUGUCUCAACGAGAGAUCCGGUGAAAUUUUAAUACCUGUGAAGAUGCAGGUUACCCGCGACAAGACGGAAAGACCCCAUGGAGCUUUACUGCAGCUUGAUAUUGGACUUUGAUACGAUUUGUACAGGAUAGGUGGGAGCCUAGGAAGAGGGAGCGCAAGCUUCCUUGGAGGCGCCGUUGGGAUACCACCCUGAUCGUAUCGGAGUUCUAACCUGGUGCCCUAAUCGGGCAUGGGGACAGUGUCAGGUGGGCAGUUUGACUGGGGCGGUCGCCUCCUAAAGAGUAACGGAGGCGCCCCAAGGUUCCCUCAGAAUGGUUGGAAAUCAUUCGAAGAGUGCAAAGGCAAAAGGGAGCUUGACUGCGAGACUGACAAGUCGAGCAGGGACGAAAGUCGGGCUUAGUGAUCCGGUGGUACCGCAUGGAAGGGCCAUCGCUCAACGGAUAAAAGCUACCCUGGGGAUAACAGGCUUAUCUCCCCCAAGAGUCCACAUCGACGGGGAGGUUUGGCACCUCGAUGUCGGCUCAUCGCAUCCUGGGGCUGAAGUAGGUCCCAAGGGUUGGGCUGUUCGCCCAUUAAAGCGGUACGCGAGCUGGGUUCAGAACGUCGUGAGACAGUUCGGUCCCUAUCUGUCGUGGGCGUAGGAAAUUUGAGAGGAGCUGUCCUUAGUACGAGAGGACCGGGAUGGACGCACCGCUGGUGCACCAGUUGUUCCGCCAGGAGCACAGCUGGGUAGCUAAGUGCGGAAGGGAUAAGCGCUGAAAGCAUCUAAGCGUGAAGCCCCCCUCAAGAUGAGAUUUCCCAACUAGUAAGACCCCUUGAAGACGACGAGGUAGAUAGGCUGGGGGUGGAAGUGCAGCAAUGCAUGGAGCUGACCAGUACUAAUCGGUCGAGGGCUUAUCCAA
rnacentral:rRNA from 1 species